GGACGCCGUGCUGUUUUGCAUCAUCUGCAAGGUGUACAAGGCAGUGUGCAUUGUAUGACAGGAAUUGUGGACCAUACAGUUGACCAAAGUGAGUGACAAAUAGGGCCAGUAUGUCAUUGGCAUAAUCACAGUAAUCUUCAAUCAAACUGUUGUUACUUAGGAUGAAGAUUCCCACAAAGAGCAGCAUAAAGUUGUUGUACACUUCUGUCCUAAGAAUAUCCUUCAUCAUGACAGGUCCAGUAUACAAUAAAAACUGCCUGAACUCUGUUGCCUUCCACCUGUCGAUUUCCUUAAGUGACCUUGGUUUAUGUGCAAAUUCUAUGGGCACACUUCUCCGAGCAUUUAUAAACCUUUCUGUUGUUGUGUUUAUUUGGAAUCCUGACAACCUACAACUAAGUGGACCCAGCUUUAGCCACAAGUGGAGAAGCCGUCUUGUGAUUCCAAGGCACACAAGGUGCAUGUAAUCGAGUGGGAAUCCAGACACCAUAUCCAAGGAUGUUUGUUCAAGAGGUACAGACCUUCCUGGGUGCAUUUUUCACAUCCGUGAUAGCCUGUAUGCCCUUUAACGUUUUUCAGGAAUGCACGUGCAGGUGCAUCACACACCAUGGAAGAUAGCUGUAACUGCAACUUCACUCCUUCAAACUCGAAACCAUUGGCUAAUUCGUUGAUUUCAGAAAUGAAGUCUUGGAGAUAUUCAUCCAGCGAGAAUAGGCCAGAACUGUGUUGCUGAGCUCUUAUAUAGAGGCAAGCCAUCGAUGUUGACCUGAAGCUCCAAAAUGUUAAUCCUCUCCAAAAUGUCAGUGUUCUGACGUAGCACCCCUGCAAUUGACUUUAGGACACCGAAAUGUAGCCCAGGUUGCCAAAUCAUCUUCAAGGGAAGUUGGAUCAUCCUCAAGUUCAGACUCGGUUUCUGAUUCUGUGUCAUCAAGAACACUUGACAUGUAUUCAGUGUCAUCAACAUGAGAGACACAGUCCAUAAAUAUGUCAUCCUCAUCGUUUUCAUGGGUAUUAUUUGUGUCACUAAGCAUGUUACCAGGCUCAUCUCCCCAUGCUGUUGCCUCUAGUGACUGCAGUUGUUUUGCAACCUUAUCUUUAGCUUUUCUUCUUAGUGUCCAAUAAGAAGCCUUCAUUUAAGGUGGGAAGACAUGGAAACAAGGAUGAAGUUAACGGAUGGCACAUAGUUCGCAAUUUAUUUUUUAGCUGGUGGGUGCCUAGCUGAGGAGAAAGGCCUUUGCUAAAUUUGAAAAAAAAAGAAAAGAAAAAUAUAUAUAGUGUAAUAUGGCAAGUUGCUAGCACUAACAUACUUAUUCUGUAAAUGCCUGUUUAAUGGCUAUUGGUUGAUGGGUUCAAACAAAAGUCAAAUAGCUUUGUUGGUGUGGCAUCAUUAUUAGUGAGCUUUGGCCGCAAGACCGUAAAGUGCAUUUGUAAAUUUGAAUGUGGUUUUCAGUGUUUUCACAGGACUUUGGGAGAGGAUGGCGCUGGAUUAUGUCAUGGUUACAUGCCACAUGUGUUCAACUACAUGUAGACAUUUUCGUAGUAUGUCUUCCACUAAAGAUCUGUUCACCUUAUAAGAAUUCUGGCGUUCAUUGUCCUAAAGGUGUGCUACAGCUCUGUUAUCUCUCUAUUAUCAGAAUUCUGGCUUGAUAUUUGGUCCGUCUGUUAACUGGCUCUGGUGCUUGAUAGUCUUCUCCAGAGAGGCAAAUAUGCUUCAAAGUUUAAAGACCAACAUUAUUCUACAAAUCCAUUUGUCUCUACUAUGAGCCAUGCCAAACUGACUGUCCAGCUGCAAACACUCCCAGACUAAUUGAACUUUCGCGCCAGCACUGUGGAACAGCCCACAAUAGCAGGGACAAAAAAAUCGUCAUUCAGAGGAUCAAACUGUGCUGUGUAUUGCAGCUGUAACAGGUCAGAUGAGAACUGGUGGUCCUAGGUAACAGAGAGCAGAGAUCGAGCCUCCAUAUCCAAAUAAAACCUGCCCGAGACUGUGUUUCUCUAAAGCUAAUCCUACCACAAUCCAUGUGCACCAGCUAUGAAAAGUGCAGACCAAACCUCUACCUCCACCUAUGAGUCUCUUCCCACAUGUAGACAAGAGUCUGUGAACUAAUGCUGUCAUCGACCUCAAACCUGGAAAAAGUCUGGAACUGCAAAGAAAGUUGAGUAUCCAAACUCUCAACUCGGGCAAAUCAAGCAACAGCGAGCACUUAAGGAUGAACCACCCUGAUCUGCCAAGAUGCACAGAUUUAACUCUGGCCCAGCAUCAUUCCCACACCUCAUCUGCCAUGUUCAUUUAAUGACUGCCAACUGCAAAUGCUAUUCAUUUCAGUUCUAUUACAAUUUAUUUUUAACUUUAAUUGAGACUAUUAUUGUGUAAAUCAGAGUUUUUCAAACUCCUCAUUCCUCAACCUAUUAGACAAGUGUAAUCUACUUUUUUUAAAUGGGGUAAGACACAUUUGUUCUCUUUCAGUAGAGUCAUUUUAUUUUCUAUUUCAUAAGAGUAAAUAUGUUUAUUUUACCAAAAUAUUUUGAUAUUCUAUCAAAACCAUGUCAUGGCUAAUUAUUAAUUUGGCCAAACUGUUGUUGCAUCAUUAAGAUCUGCAACACACAGUAACCUGCUGUUUGACCCACAAGUGGGUCCUCCUGACCCACAGUUUAAAAAAUCCCCUGGUGUACUGAAUGUUGUAUUGUAAUUAAAGUCCCAUCUAAGUCUAAGUCUCCUUUAUUUGUGACUAUUCAAAAUGUAACAUGGUACCUUUCAGCACUUACUACAUCACUGUAUUCUUAAUGCAUUUUAUUUUUAUGAUUAU